UGUAGUUUAGUUUCCGUCCACUUUUGCGAACGACACACAAGCUAAUCCCUCCCGAUCCGAAUGAGCUGCCAUUCUGAUUGCCUUGCUUCGUGUUUCCAGAAGGUUUCGGCACGGAACCGCCUGGAACGCGAUAUCAAAGAGUUGCAGGCAGUAUCGCCAGAAUUGGUCUCUCGUUUGGAGGCGUGCACACGACGGCAGGAGGAGGAUGACCGGCCGACGACGGGACCGACGCGAGAGAGCUCCGACUGCCGGUAUUGUUUGCCGCUGCCGGCGGAUACACGGCGACGGCGGCAGGAGCCGACCUCACCUUCACCGGAGACAAGGGAGCGCUUCGUCAUUAGCCAGUUGCGCUACCUGUCUACCGACGUCUCGGAAUUCCUCGACAAGGUUGAAGAAGCCGGGCAGAGAAAGUGGUGGGAAUGGGAUCGCCUCAAACCUGAUCUACGUAUCUCCCGGGAUCUCGUUCGUCGUUGCAGCGAUAUCGAUCGUCGUAUCGUUCCCGAUUGGCGGAAUAUACUUGCCGCAUGGGAGCACCCUGUUCGAUAUCAACCUCGGGUUGAUCUGCCGGAGAGGCAGGCUCCUGGCCUCUUCGGAAUCCAUGGCCCAAAGAUGGCGAUCGUCAAUUGGCUACGGCUCGAACAGAGCUCGUGGAAAGCGGUCGCCAUCGUUGGACCCGUCGGGUCGGGAAAGACUACCCUCGCUGCUCAAGUGUACGAUGAAAUCAGCGGGCAGUUCGAUUGCUCGGUUCAAGUCUCGGCGGCUUCUUCGCAUACUGCAGAUAUAAGUAAGGCUCUCACCUACAUCCUGUCGCUGGUUGAUCCAGGAUAUCAUAACAAGAAGACGGAACCACCAGAAAAUUGGCUAGGCCUAACUGCCAGCAUGCAUACGUGCUUGAACGCUAAGAGGUACAUAAUUUUGAUUGAUGAUAUAUGGGAUUCAAAAUUUUUGAGUCGCAUUUUCUACGCUUUCCCUGUGAAUAACUGCGGCAGCCGAAUUUUGGUUACUACCAGAAUUAUGAGAGUAGCGGAUCGUGUAGCCAAUAAAUACGGUGGGCUUGUACACAGAAUGAAGCCUCUAGAUGAGAUAGACUACAAGAAGCUGUUCAUCAGGCACUUGACCACCACCAAGGAUAGCUGUGAUCUGGACAGAUUAAAACUAGUUUCCAAUAAAAUACACAAAACAUACGAUGGCAAGCCGUUGGCAAUAGCUGCUAUUGCAAACACGAUGAAACAAGAGGCUUCGAGCUCAACGCUUACUUGGGUAGAAGAGUUCUGUAAGCUGGGAAAGGCCCCCGGCCAAGGACAAAUAGGAAGAUUCCUCUCUAUUUACCAUGAUAUGUCUCAUGAUAUGAGAUGCUGGUUGUUGUACUUGAGUUUGUUUGGGGACUACUAUAUCGACAAGGACCGGCUCAUGUGCAGAUGGGUUCCAGAAGGAUUUGUCACUCCAUUGUGGAGAUAUGACUUGCUAACUGAAGCUGAGGGAUGUUUUGAUGAGCUCAUAGACAGAAACAUCAUCCAACCAGUGAAACAAGGAAAAUGCUAUCCCGAUGUCGGGAUAUACAAGGCUGACUUUCUGAUGAUCCAAGUCAUACUGCAGAUGUCACCCCUAAAGAAUGCUAUUAAGACUACCAGUGACAAAAUCCGCUUAAUAGAACACAAUAAUCUGCUCCAUCUAUCCAUUUACUCUCCUGAUCUAAAUGUUGACGAGGAACUAGGAGAGAAGGAUUUGCCACUUGUCCGUUCACUGACAAUACUUGAUGAAGCGGCUCAGAGUAUCGAAUUUUCCAAAUUCACAUAUUUGCAUGUGUUGGAUGUACAAGGUUGGGCAAAGUUGGAUGAUGAUAUUAUGUCGAAAAUAUGCACAGUACUGAAGAGGUUGAAGUAUUUGAACAUUAGGGACACAAAGGUGAGCAUUCUCCCACAACGGAUCAAGAACCUGAGCAUUUUGGAGACAUUGGACAUCAGACAAACACGUGUAAGCUUUAUCCCCCCAGAAGUGUCUAAGCUACAAUUCUUGCAGGCACUGUACGUUAGUCAUCUAAAAAUAAGAAGGCUCCCAUCAUUAAUCGUCAAGCUACAUAGGUUGGUGAAGCUGGAUCUCAGAGAAACAGAAAUAACAGAACUACCUGACCAAGGAAGCUGGCUAAGAAACUUGUUACACCUGCUUGCUGGCUGUGAAGAUUCCACUAAAAGUAUGCUAAAGAUGCCCAGAUGGAUUAGCCGUGCCAGCUUGCUAAGGACGCUAGCAACUGUUGAUUUAAGCGAAUGCUUAUUAGAAACUAUAAGAUCUCUCGGUGAUCUAAAAGAACUAAAUGAGCUAGCCAUAAUAUUGUCUUGUCACCACUCGGUCAAACAACUAUACCAGGAGGCAUUGCUGACAUCCAUCGACAAAAUGGAGAAACUUAAAUAUCUGGCAAUUUAUGGCGAAUUUGGUUGCUCCAUUGAAUUCAUGUGUUAUCUUACAAGGCCGCCUAAGCUUGAGAAACUCAUAUUAACUCCAAGGUUGGUCAGUAUUCCCCAAUGGAUUAAAAGUCUCGACGACCUUGUCCUCUUAAAGAUCACUGUAUGCAAAUUUGAGACAACAGAUCUGGCAAGCCUUGCAGGUUUACGAAAGUUGUGUUGCCUUGAGCUUGUUUUGGAAUUCCAUCUAAAACAAGAGAUUGUAAUUCAAAAUGAAGGUUUCAAAUUUCUUGAGAGAUUUUCGGUUGCUUGCCGUGUGCCAUGGCUGACUUUUAAACAAGGAGCUAUGUCCCAGCUAACGGCGCUUGAGCUGAAAUCCUCUUCCCUAGAAGGUCAGUACAGAAUUAUUUUGUCAGGUAUACACAAUCUGGUAAGCCUCGAUCAAAUUCUCCUCCAUUCUUCCACACGGUACGGCAGUAAUCCUACUCCCGACAUAAAGUACAAGGAAGGUGAAAGGUACGGUAGGUGUAUCAAAGUUUUCAUUAAUGGCAAAGAACAUGAACAGGCAAGUAAAGCUGGCAGUUCGACAAUAAUAACCGAAAUAAAGAUGGAAACAAAAAUACGUGAAUCAGCGCCAUCUAUUUCGGAACAAGAACGGGAGCACAACGACAAGGUGACAGUGGAAGAGAGCAGCAAUCCAAGAGAGGCUGCACCUACGGUCAAAAACGACGGGACAGGUGAUGGCAACCAGGAGCGAGCUAAUGAGGACGGCCCCAGCCUAAACAGAUACCACUUCAAUGCAGUCCUGCAGAGCUUCCUUGCGUUAGACAACCUGCGUAUGACAAUGCUAAGGCGAGAUCCCGUUGCAGGAUCUCUCACUUCGGAGCUAAAUAUGGUUUUCAUGGAUACAAAUGGUGCAAAUGGUAUAGGCAGAAAUCUGGAGCAAAACCACUUAUCAGAAAUAUUCUCGGAGCAAACAAAAUUCCGUAGCCAUGAGAUGAUGCAGCGUAGCUUUCACUUUCAGGGCUUCAUGCAAAAUGGAUUGGGGGAGAAAGCUGAUGCUACCAACAUGCCAAAUAUUGAGGACGCGUGUGUCAGGAUGUCUACAGUUUCCUCCAGCGACCAAUCUGAGCAAAUGCAAGUUAAACCAGAUCCUGUGAUGUCAGGGUCGGACGAGCGUGCUACGAAUACAAGUAAAGUCCAGCACCAGGAGCAUGCCGCAGCACCAGCAAGCAGGAGGCACGGCGAAGGUAUGGUCGAAGGGAGAGACAUGGAAGAGGAAGGGACAGCAAUAACCAAGCACAGGGUGGUCGGUGACAUGCCAGUGUGGGGUAAUAGGCUUGGGAAUGUGGUAAGAAGGAUGCCAAAUUCUGGAAACAUAUGCCAUUUCAAUGCAGUGUUGCAGAGCCUUCUUGUUCUUGACGAACUGCGCAGGAAGAUGAUAGAAUUGAAUGUGCAGCAUGGGACCAUACUUUUAGAACUGAAAGAUCUCUUCAAGAAGACAAGUGCUGGUACAAACUAUGCAGAAGAUACGCUGGAGAGAGAGGCAGGAAAGGUGUUUGAUGAAAUGUGCUCAAAGGGUCCAGAUUACAAGAAAAGUGAGAUGAAUGACAGCAUUGAUACGCUCAACUUAUUGCUUAAUUGUUUGAAGAAAGAGGAUGAGGGAAAUGAUUCUACCAUUGUCAACCCUACCUUCCGUUUUGAGAUGUCUACAACUGUUACAUGUAAAAGAUGUAAGGGUCAAUCAACUUCUCCGCAGGAAGGCCUUUAUCUCAGUCUGGAUCUGCCGGCAAAGAAGCAUUUACCGGAGUGUGCAUCGCUGCCACCUACAGACAGAGAUCAAAACAGAGAUAUUGAUAUCACGACACAUAAAAUAAAUAAUAUAAAUGAUGGGGUAUAUGACAUAGAUGAUCCUAUAUCUAUCGAGAUCUGUUUUGAUAAUUUUGUAAGCGAUGAGCUCAGUGAUUAUGUCUGUCAGCACUGCAAUGGUACUGAUGGAAAUACUGUGGACCAAAAGGGAUCUGCUACAAAGCAAAUUUUCAUUACCAAGGUGUCACCAGUACUAAUAGUUCAGCUGAAGAGAUAUUGGCAAUCUCCAGAAGGUUCACCAAAAAAACUGAUGUCAGGUGUGAAAUUUGAGGAGCUGCUUGAUAUUACUAAGUACAUGGAAGCCAGACCUUCAGAGAAUACCAAAUGCAUCUAUCAUCUAGUUGCCGUCAUCCAACACACUGGGAACUCAUUAGACGCAGGUCACUACACUGCCUAUGUGAGAGCAAACAGAAUUGCAGGCCAGGAGAAGAAAAUCUUGUGGGCACAUGCAAACGAUGCGAACAUCAAAGAAUGUUCUCAAGAAGAAGUUCUUGAAAGGCAGGCGUAUAUUCUUUUCUACGAACAAGUAGAAGGGUAAAACCAUAUAGCAGUUCUAGAUAUCGAUUUAUCAAACAAUCACAGGUCAAGCUUCAAGCUGAUUGAUUGGAUGGACGGGAGUGGCCGUCUGCCGUGUGUUCCAGAGGUGCUCUUAUGUCUCCCCGGGUCUCUUCCAUGGUUACCCAUCAAGGGACGAAUCUAACGUGGGUGCUGAGGGCUCAAGCCCCCCUAUUUGUUGGAUCCCCUUGAAAGAUAAGAAAAAAGUAGGGAAAAAAAGAGAAAAGAAUG